UAAUGUAUGGGGAUCUGCCCGAUAGAGGGGGAUAACUACUGGAAACGGUGGCUAAUACCGCAUAAUGUCUACGGACCAAAGCAGGGGCUCUUCGGACCUUGCACUAUCGGAUGAACCCAUAUGGGAUUAGCUAGUAGGUGGGGUAAAGGCUCACCUAGGCGACGAUCUCUAGCUGGUCUGAGAGGAUGAUCAGCACACUGGGACUGAGACACGGCCCAG
rnacentral:rRNA from 1 species